GCUCAUCCUCCGUAACUUUCUCUAGCUGAGCUCACGCCACCACUGCGGCACACCUCUCUUAUAGCUAUCGGGUGACCGCGUGUGCCGUUGCCACCACUAGCGAGAUCUGGGAGAAAGAGGAGGCAAAGAGGGAGAUGGAGCAGCAAGAAUAAAGGUAAAGGAAGGAGGAAGAGGAGACACCCUAAGCAUGCCGGUGACCUCCAGGCCCGCUACUACGACUUCUCCAAGCAACACCAAUCUACAGCAGCAAGUGUCUCGAGCAAGAUGACCAAGUGUUGGUGGGUGGGCAUCAACAAGGUGGGUUGUCAGCACGGUGUUCGAGUUGGUCAGUAGUGGUGCACCUGCGCCAUGUAUGGAUCAAUACUCUAGGAGGUUCUGUCGAGGCCCAAUCCAUCCAGUUCAGAGCCAUUGUCAAAUUGAAUAACAACUGCCUUUUGGUCUCGGCCCAUAACCAGCCGUGAAAGACGAGAUGUUUAUGCUGCCCUUCUACCUUCCUCCCUGUCCCUACUUUUCCCCAUCGCGUGUUGGGCCCUCUGAAGUAAAAUAAAACA